rnacentral:rRNA from 1 species
AGUGAACGCUGGCGGUAGGCCUAACACAUGCAAGUCGAACGGCAGCACAGUAAGAGCUUGCUCUUACGGGUGGCGAGUGGCGGACGGGUGAGGAAUACAUCGGAAUCUACUUUUUCGUGGGGGAUAACGUAGGGAAACUUACGCUAAUACCGCAUACGACCUACGGGUGAAAGCAGGGGAUCUUCGGACCUUGCGCGAUUGAAUGAGCCGAUGUCGGAUUAGCUAGUUGGCGGGGUAAAGGCUCACCAAGGCGACGAUCCGUAGCUGGUCUGAGAGGGUGAUCAGCCACACUGGAACUGAGACACGGUCCAGACUCCUACGGGAGGCAGCAGUGGGGAAUAUUGGACAAUGGGCGCAAGCCUGAUCCAGCCAUACCGCGUGGGUGAAGAAGGCCUUCGGGUUGUAAAGCCCUUUUGUUGGGAAAGAAAAGCAGCAGGUUAAUACCCCGCUGUUCUGACGGUACCCAAAGAAUAAGCACCGGCUAACUUCGUG